CAAUAUUGUCUUGUUAAUUCUUUUAUUGAAACUAUAAUCUUGUCAAUUCUUUUCAUCGAUAUAGAUUUGUAUGAAAAAAUUUUUACUAGAAAAAAAAAUUGUAAGAAGAAAGUAUGACAAUUGUAAGACAUCGAGAUAACCUGUUCUAACGUAGUUCACGCUUCUCGACGUUUAAUUAUAUGGAAAAGAGAAAGAUAAAGAAAGAGAAAGAGAAAGUGGGAAAGAGAGAAAAAGAAAAUAGAUUACGAUCUAACCCAUCGGGGCCUCUCGUCUGCGGCGCGUUAAAAUUCCGCGCAAAAGGAGUUUUCAGGCGUGCGAACGAUUCCGUCUGUUUAAGCGCGGCGUUGGCGUUGGCGUUGGCGUUGGCGACGGCGGCAGUGGUCCAAUACGGACGGAUUCGAUCGAUAAAGGCAGCAGCACUAACAGCAAUAACAGUAGCAGCAGCAGCAGCGUCAAACGGCAGCGAGGGCGACGACACGACCACGACGACGGCGACGACGACGACGAUAACGACGACGACGACGACGGCGACGAUGACGAUGACGAGAGGGUGUUCGUGAAAUUUCGUAAAGGCCGCGCUCAGAACGCCAUCUGUUGGGGAGAAGAUGAAACAUUCGUAUGUUUUAUCUCGCCUGCUCUUCAUCCCCUCCAACUCUGAAAAUCUCUCUCUCUCUCUUCUCUCUCUCUCUCUCUCUGUCUUUAUUUCUCUCUCUCUUCUCUCUCUCUCUCUCUCGCUCCGAUACGACUCAUCGGCGAAGCUUAAAGCGCAUCGAAGAUGGCGACAGGAGGGUAGGGUCGAGUCAGUCGCUUAGAAAGGAAGCUUAUUCCUCGUCCGUUAAACGACCAUAAACAUCGACGUAAUGUCCUGUCUGAUGGUGGUGGUGGUGGGUACUUUUUCCUAACUAGGAUUCCUCCCCAAAAAAAAGGAACGGGGGUGUGCUGCGCUUUACUAAC